GUAUUUCCGCCGGCGCGAAACGAGCGUAGCUUCCUUGUCGUGUGGCCUCAGUCCUUCGCCGUCCCUCGCCGUCCUUCGCCAUCGCACGCCACCGCACCCCAUCUCUCGAAAUCUGCAGACAUCUUGAUUUUUCCCACGCUGUCUGUCAGGUCUCCGCCGCCACUCGACGCCAGGGCGCCGGGCCUUGUGGGCUGUGCUGCACCUCGGACGGCUUCGCACCAGCCAGCGCCCUCUCUCUCCUGCAGCACUCUGAUCUGCACCCCCUGAGGGGCUUCCACUGUCCGCGGGGUGAGAAUGCCCCUGGGAGUGUCACAUGACUGCCGCCCCAUGUGUGUGAGAGGCGUCCUCUGGGAGAGCAUGGAUCCUGAGGUCCCAGGAUUGUCAGCUGACCUCUGUCCUGUGUGCCCAGUGGCCCCAGGUGACGUGUCUUCAAGAAGAGGCUGAGCUGCGGUGCUUGUAAGGUCUCAGCCUUAGAUCCAAGGACAGUCCAAGGAAGUCCUAAGACCAUGGAGUUGGUGAUCUGGGAUCUGGGUUUGCUGAUAUUUCUCACCGUGAAUCUCUUGGUGGUGUUUGUGGGCACGAGAGGGGCAGAGAAUGGAGAGUGAGGCUACCACAUGAAGCGUCACCAGAGCUGCUCCCUGCUGCCUGCUCAGAGCACCCCGGAUCCACUGUUCAAUCUGCACAAGAUUCGGGGUCCAGACAUGGGAGACUUCAGCUGCCUCAGAGGACCGUGGACAGGGAAGGCCAGCCUCGCAUCCCUCUGUCCAUGCCUGGAAUGACUUUAAUAACCAAGAGUUUUAUUUUUGAAUUUGUAGCUGUCGUUCACUUUUUACCCACCCAUUCAAUAAACCUUACAGAAUUGCUCCAAAAAAAAAAAAAAAAAA
rnacentral:sRNA from 1 species